GGUCCGAUGGUGUAGUUGGUUAUCACUUCUGUCUAACAAUUCUACGGUUACGUAAUUGGUGCACAGGCGGUCCUCAGUUCGAACCUGGGUCGGAUCA